AACGAACGCUGGCGGCAGGCUUAACACAUGCAAGUCGAGCGCCCCGCAAGGGGAGCAGCAGACGGGUGAGUAACGCGUGGGAAUCUACCGUGCCCUACGGAAUAGCUCCGGGAAACUGGAAUUAAUACCGUAUACGCCCUACGAGGGAAAGAUUUAUCGGGGUAUGAUGAGCCCGCGUUGGAUUAGCUAGUUGGUGGGGUAAAGGCCUACCAAGGCGACGAUCCAUAGCUGGUCUGAGAGGAUGAUCGGCCACAUUGGGACUGAGACACGGCCCAAACUCCUACGGGAGGCAGCAGUGGGGAAUAUUGGACAAUGGGCGCAAGCCUGAUCCAGCCAUGCCGCGUGAGUGAUGAAGGUCUUAGGAUUGUAAAGCUCUUUCACCGGUGAAGAUAAUGACGGUAACCGGAGAAGAAGCCCCGGCUAACUUCGUGCCAGCCGCCGCAGUAA
rnacentral:rRNA from 1 species